rnacentral:lncRNA from 1 species
UAGAAGUACGAGUAUCAUGGAUAUAGGACACUCUGAAUAUAUAUAGGAAAAAAAAUCACUGAUAUGGUUCUAAAUCUAAUUGACAAGAAGGUUUCAAUUUUUUAUUGUCUUUUACUAACAUUUUAUUAUCACUAAACUUAGUUCUCUUGAAUUUCUCUAUAGGACAAUCAUUGCAAGGCUCAGGGCUGGAAAAAAAAGAUUGUGCUUGAUGUGGCUUCAUCAGGUAAAUAACUACUCUAUAUCUAUCUUAUGCUUUUCUAUAUGAAUAUCUCAUAGAACAAAAGUCAAUCUAUAUCCUAUAAAAAGAGAAAUUUCAUUUCUACACAAGGUUCUUCAAAUUUACUAACACUAACAAUAAAAUCAGAAACCAAAAACAUAUAUAUGUCAAGCUGAAACACUCACAGUUACUCCCUCCUUGCUCGAUACCACCACAGAAUGAGCCUAGAUAGUAUACUUCCUGUGAAAAAACAUAGUAUUGUAGUGUUAAUAUUGUUUAUUAUUAUUGAAUUAGAAUAAAAAAAAUUGUAAGAGAAAAGGAUAUCAUAUAUAUAAAGGGUCAGAGGAAAAGCUCCUCCCAGAUUAUACAACAAGGAAACAAAAUUGAUCAGUACAAAACAGCAGCAAAACUACAAGGUAAGAAUAAAAGUAGUAGAAGCUUAAAAGAAUACAAAGUAAAAUUAGAACCCCAGGAAGAGUAGACAUUGCAGAAAUUGCACAUCUUGGUUGCAGACCAGGGGAGACAAUCACGAACGGAUAAGUGCUCCUUAAUACAAAUUCUCAAAAAGCAAGUAAAACCUCAAGACUCCUUCAUUUCAAUAGCAAUUUCUACCCUUAAGGUUUAAAUGACAUUUUUUUAGGGAAGGUUUAAAUGGUUGUUUUAAUACUAUUAUUUAAUUUAAUGACAAUAAGAACCAACAAACAAGAAAUAAUUCAAUUAUAGAGGAAGAGGUAAACACAGAAUAGCCCACAAAGAACAAAAGGCAGUGAAGAAAAUACCUCCACAAAUCAAUGACAUGGAGGGAGAGGAGGAACCUUCAAUUCAAACUCCAUUAUAUGACCAUACCAUAGAGAGAAUAUCAUGGUAACACUACUACUUUAGUCUACAAUUAUGAACUCUAUGGGCCUCGCUGGAAGUCACGCAGCGGUGGUCAUUUGUCCUGUGCAACACAAGUUUGACAAAGAAACAAAAUUGGGUGGGACGGGGGUCAGUGGUGUGGGUCGCAUGUCCGACGGAAGUUGUCGGAGGCCUGGCUGGUGGUUUCGUGGUCGUAAGGGAAGGAGGAGGAGAAGAGGAGAGGCCAGGUGUGGUGGCUAGGGUUUUUGUUUUGACAAAAAGGGGAAGCGUGUCUCACUCUCCCUUUUCUCAUAUAUUUGUUAUUUUUUAUUUAUUUAUUUUUUUUGUCAAUUUUUUUUUAAUUCAAUGUGGACUUACUCCUAUUGUGUGGCUGCCUUCUUUUUUUUUUUUUUACGGUGGUUGCCUUUUUUUUAAAAAAAUAUUUAGCCAUAAUAUUAAUUUGUCAUGGUUUCAUAUUUUAAAAUUCUUAAUUUUGUAAUUUUUUUGUUCUAUUUACAAAACUAAAACGUAAUUUUAAUAUUUACUUUUGUUAUUGAUGAUAAAUAUUUGAAUUAUUCUUACUAAAAAAUAUUUAACAAAUAUUUAUCUUUUUAUUUAAUCAAUGAUGAUUGAACUUAAUAAUACAUUUUUUUAGUAACUUAAAAAUACAUUUUUACAAACUAAAUAAUCACACUAUAUUAAUAUGUAUUAAAUUCAUUGUACUCUAAUCUUUUAUUUUUUUUAAAAAUUCCAGGGAGCGUAUCAUUAUUAAUUACUACCUUGAGGUACAACACUCAUAGUCGAUUUAAAAUACCUCUAGAUGUUUUUGAAGAUAGUACGAGCUUAAUCAAGUAAAAUACUCAGCUUGCUCAAUUAAUAAUUCAAAUAAAUUUGAUUAUUUGGAAUGAAACACCUAUGACUAAAAGGUUGGCAUUUGAAUCCCUUGAUAGAACACUAAAAGACAUUGUUGGUUUCUUCAAGAUCUUUAUGUUUUCUAAAAGUAUGAUCGUUGACACUUCAUCAUCUGCUCAACUUAAUUUAUUGGCAUCUGAAUUCAACAAAUGGAUAUUGCAAAUGAUAAUAUAUAUAACUGAACAAGAGUUCAUGUAUCCGGUGAAGUUCUUGAAUUCUUUAAAUUUCAAUAAUACCCAAACCAUUGUUGCACCUUAAAGUAGGAAUGUCAAUUAUGCUACUCAGGAACAUCAAUCCAACCCUAGGAAUGUGCAAUGGAAUAAAACUAAUUAUUGUACAUCUAGGAGAAUAGAAAAUAGAGUCGCAAAUACUUCAGGAAGUAACACUGGUGCAAAAGUGCUUAUAACACAUAUAGUUUUUACCACAAAUAAUUCUAAAUGAUAUUUUAUGCUAAGAAGAAACAAUUUUCAAUAAAGUUUGUUACACCAUGACAAUUAACAAAAGCCAAAAUCAGUCAUUGAACUAUGGGAGAUUAUAUUUGCCAAGACAUAUAUGCUCUCAUGACCAAUUAUAUUUGCGUUGUUUAAAGUAAGAUUACCAAAGGGAUUGAAAUACUUAUUGUUGAGAAAGAUGAUACAUAUGCGUAAUAUACGAAAAAAUUUAGUGUACAAUGAAGUUUUUGAUGAACUUUCAUUUAAUAUUCUUACCUUUAUACAAAUUAAAAUAUCACAAUUUAAAAUUACAACUUAAAACAAAUCUGUGCAGCGCAUAGGUAAAAGAACCCAUACUUGAAUGCAUUGUACCAAACAUCACAUUUUCUUUGUAAUAAAUAUAUUACACAAUAAAAUUAACUUAUUGCUUAAAUUAAAUAUUUCAAAGUAAAUUAGCAAUUUUUUAUGUCAUUGGAUAAAUAAAUUUUUAAGUUGUUAAGAUUAUUUCUAUGCUAAUAAUUAUAUAAUUUGAGUACUAUUAAUUAUUUACACAAAAAAUAACUCUAAUUAUAUUUAUUGAAAUGUCUUAAUUAACACAAUUUUUUUAUAUUUAUAAUUAAAAUUAUUUUAAAUUUUAUUUAUUUAAACUAUAAUAAUUUAUAUAUAAUGUUCUAUAAUAUUGUAAGUAAACCCGUGCAACGCACGGGUAUAAUAUCUAGUAAGUGUAUGUAAUACAGGAGUAACGAAAAAGAUUCCUUUUAGGAAUGGAACUGUAACAAUAAGAAAGAGAAAUGUAGAUAGAUAUGAUAGAAACAACAAUGACCAUUCUUAAUUAGAACUCAAAUGCCCAUAUAAAAUAUCACUAAGCAAUGGUUGAUAAUCUAGUUGGUUUUGAUCGUUGCUUCUCCUUAAAUAGUAUGCUAAUUUAUUGUGGAUGUGAUAAGUGUAAAAUUACAUAGUUUUCCAUAUUACUUUGAACACUUAUCAAUGAUAAAAAGUGUGUACUUCAUAUUUAUUUAACCCUGAACUGUGUAGUUUAGUAAAUAAUUAGAUUUAUUAUAGAUUUUAUGUUAAAUUUUGAGUCUAGUCCCUAUUUUUGAUGUAGAAUGGAUGCUAAAGAGAAUUCAUGUAGAUUUCAUUAAAGAAAAGAAAUAAGAGGAUGAAGAAAUCCAUUUUGGAGAAAAGAAUUUCGCUCAAGCGAGAUGAAAUUUCGCUCUAGCGAGCUACGACGGUGCAGGAAACCCACAUGUGAAGAAAGCUACUCGCUGGAGCGAACCUAAAUCUUGCUCGAGCGAAACUAAAGCGGCAUAAAGUCUAUAAAUAGUCUAAAACAGGGCAAAACAAGGGGAGUUCAAACUUUCCCAUCUUUUCUUCAUUUCUCUUCACUUCCAGAACUUAGAAACAUGGGAGAAAGCUAAGAGCACUUGGAGAAGAGGCUUGAGUGUCGAAUUCGACGACGAGAUAUCGCAGAGUCUUCGGUUCUUUUCCAUGUUUGUAAAUAACUAAUCUCUCUUGUUGGGGUUAGAUGUAGUUGAUAAAUCUCUAUUUAUUCUAUUUGAUUCAGUUUAUAUAUUAUCAUGUUUCUUUGCUUAUGGUUUAGUGGUUUUCUCUUGAUUUUCAUACUAUAUUUUAGAUGAAUCACAUAAGAUAUUUUGCUUGAUUCGACUUGUGAGCGGAAACUACAACGUUUUGAGUCCGAACUAGAGUUAAUCACAUAAUAAUCCUAAUUGCCAGAGAGAGUUAGGUUAGUUAGUCAAUGAACACCUAAACUUCAUGAUAACUUUCUUUCUUAAUCAUGUGAGACAUCAAUGUUUAAGAUUAGAGAGUUAUUGCUAUUCACUCAUGCGAGACAUCGAUGGUGUAGGGUUGAACUGGUGUAGAUGAAUCAUAUGCAGGAUACAGAAAGGUUAAUCAAUGGAAUCUAAUCCCAGCAGUUUCUCAUGUUGUUUUCUAUUUUGUUUUGCUUUGUUUUUAAUUUAUGUUUGUUACAAAAAUCCCUUCAAAAUAUUGUGAAAUCUCAUUGCUUAAUCUACAAAAACUAUUGAACAAAAUAAUAUUACCAAUUUCCUGCAGAUACGAUAAAAUCAUAUGCUAUAUUGCAAUUGAAUCUUGAGGAUUUCGAAAGUAGUAUUGGUGUAGAAAAAAUUUCUCAACAGCAUGGUCAUAAAUUUUUAUAGAGGAUUUUACGUAACAUACAUUCUUGGGUAACAUUUGAAUGAGAGAAGUCAUUAAAAAUUUCAAAUAAAACUGAAACACAAUGAAUAAAUGGUUACAUAAUGAUUAUUGAAAAAUUAAAAGCUUGGUUGAAACAUUUGUUUUAGGUAACGCAAAGCUUAAAUUUUUUAAUGUAUAAAUUUAUACGUGUAAAAGUUUUUCCAUGGACAAGAACUUGAGAUGGAAAGCACAAUGAAUUCGAUUGUCAAAAUUUCCUUAUUAUUAGUUUUGGUCGUAAUUUCUUCAGGUUAUAAGUCUUGCUUAACUCUUAAUCUGUAUUUCAUAUAUUAGUUAAAGUAAUGUCUCUUAUAUAGACAUGAUUCUUAUUAUUGCCAUAUAUGUACUAUUUGUGAGCGCAGAUAUGUGCAAGAAAUCAGAUGCACGUUUGGGUGGUGUUGUGAGUUUCCGCUGCGAAAUUGACGAACAUUGUAACGAUGGUUGCAAGUGUUGUCGGAAGAUUUGUUUUUGUCCAUAUAAUAUGCCACCUAUUCACGGCCUCUGUGACGGUGAUUAUUCAAGGAUACAUUCAAUGGAAAGUAACGGAAGUGAAGCACCUUAUAGCAAAUAAUAUUUGAAUUAAUGAUUGCAUCUCAUUGUAUGUGAAAAAGUUACCAUGUCAACUAAAAUUUACAUUUGGCUUAAUCUUUCUUGAUUCAUUUCUGCAUUUUGUAGAAUUUACAAUAACCUGAAUUUGAUUAUGUAAAGUCACGUGAUUCAUCAUUCAUGUACUACAAAACUAUGAUAACACCCAUACACGUUGUUUUUGUGGUGAACCACUCAUUUUGGUAUAAAUAUUUAUGAUGUGAUAUAAGAAGAGAGAUAAGUAAGAAAAAAAUGUAUAUGACAAUUCUUAGUGCCGGAAGCGGAUGAAGUAUAAAUAAUAGGCGGACGAUGAGGGACGAUCACAUCGUCCAAUAGUUAAAUGGAUGGUACUUGGCUAACCCGAAUCUCUUCACUCCUCAUCUCACUUACCUCACUUUCUUUUUAGUUCAAAAAAAUCUAAUUCGAAUCUCGAUCUCUGGAAUCGAAACCAAGACCAACGAGCCUCCAUUCAAUCGCUCUUUUGUCUAUUAACACAAUUUUACCUUCUUUCACAUUUCCUUCCUUACAUAAAGCAUCGACCAAUAUAUUAAAAGUAUAAACAUCCCGCCCCGGUCAAUGUUUUUCGCUAUCAUUUCAUCCAUCAAAACAAUUGCUUCUUUCAAUUGACCCACGAUGCAAAAACCAUAUAUUAAAGAGUUGUAAAUGAUAGCAUUAAGUAAAACUUUCUUGCUAACCAUUUCAAAAUAUAAAUCGUAGGCAACACUUACAAGUUUAUCUUUGCACAGGAUGUCCGUGAUGGUGUUGUACAUUACCACAUUAGGCUUAACCAAUUUCCCUUCAACUUGUCUCGACAACUGCAAUGAAGCUCUUGUUUUCCCUAUCUUACAUAACCCAUUGACCAACGUCUCGUAACUAACUUGAUCCAACCGAAACCUCUGUGCUACGACAUCAUCAUGAAAUUGCAAUGCCCUCUGAACCUUACCAUUAAGACAAAGACCUUUCAUCAGUGUAGUCAAGCUGAUGAUAUCUGGUCCAUAACCCCUCUUGAGAGUUUUGCCGAGUACGGAAAAAGCGGAGGCAAUUGGACCUACGUGGCAAGAAUUAGUCUUUUGGUUUCGGCUGUGAAGCACUUGUAAAUUUUAUUUUUAAUUAACUAGUAAAUUGUAUUAUGAUAACAAAAAUAUCAUAAUAGUGAUAAACAUAAAGAAAUUUAAUUUAUAUACAGUGAUAGUGUAUAUAAUUUUACACAUACAUGGAACAACAUCUUUUUAUUUUUCAAAAAAAAAGAAUUUUAUACAUACUCGAUAAGUGAGAGACUAAUUUUUUCUAGGCAUUGUCAGGCACAAAGUGGGGUCGCCCCAUUCCACUCGAACAAACAUAAUCAAGCAUUGAACAUGGUUUGUAUGUGGAAUCAUAAUUAUUGAAAAGUCAAUUGGUCAUUUCCAAUUCUAAUUGGUUACCCAACUUGUUUACGAUAUGUUUUAUCACCGCUUUCUUUUAAUUAUUGUACUUAUUACUUAAGUGAUUUUGUUAAAGAACGACAUUGUAUUUGCAAUUUCCUUAUGGACACGAUAUAACCCUUAUUAUAAUACACCGAAUGUUGAGGAAUUGAGAGUAGCGUAGUAAAUGUUCUUUCAUUAGAAACUCCAUACAAGCUAGCUUUCAUCAAAGAAGAAGUUUCCCCAGUAGAAAUCGGUGAACCCUCAUGGCUAGUUUAGCCCAUAUAUUCCAAGCGGGCACAAAUAAGCACGUCAUCCGCGAAGAGCUAGACAUGAUCGAGGAACUAAAAGAGGCGGAAAAGAUAUGAGAAGCUGUUGCGAAGUAGAAGAUAAAGUCUUGAUACAAUUCAUAUGUGAUUGUUAGAAGCUUCUGACUCGCAGAUUUGAUCCUGCGAAGAGCAUAUAAUGGCCCCAGAGGAAUUGAGGAGGAAAAGUUCACCUCAAAUUAGGAUUGAUACCGGAAAAGUAACAUACAUGAUGAAGACUCUGUAAGGAAAAGAAGUGAUGCACUACUUGAAUAUCGCCAACCUUAGGAGGUAUUAAAGUUGACUUUACUAGCUUAAAGUCUUUCGUUAUCACUUUUUAUUUAUAGUCAAACUUUUUGCAUUCAAAAUGUUUAUCAAUACACGAGUUUCUUGAUUGCGUACUUAAUUAUGCUUGUACCCUACUGAUGACGAGCGACUCGUCUGAUGCACGCGACUCCUCUCUUCAAUGAGGCCUAAGGUUGGACUCUCACCUGGUACGUACGCCAGCUUGGCUCGGACAGGACAGAUCAACUUACAUGAUGACGAGCAAAAAACAGACCUAGAUCAUAUUUAACCUACUAGGCCUUGGACGUAGGAGUACCACUAUCAGAGGCAAGUUCUCCUAGCAGUGCGACAACCAAGACUAAGUCACAAUACUAAGGACCUUCAACAAAAUUUUCAUAAUAGAGGCAGCCCCUAAUACACGCGACAACUAGGAUCAAGUCACAUCGCUUAGUACCUCAACAAAGUCCCCUGUCCGAGGCAACCCUUAUGAUAAGUGCAGCACUAGGACUACACUUACUACCUCCAACAAAGUCCUUAAUCGAAAGCAACCCUCCUGCUACAAUCAAGACUAAGCCACAACACUUCCCUUAUUAGAGGCAACUCCUCUAAUACUCUUGAAAACCAGGACUAAGCCACAAAACUUAGUACCUGCAACAAUGUCCCCUAUUCGAGGUAACCCCUCUGAUACGCACACUAGCAGGAUUAAGUCGCAAUACUUAGUACCUCCAUCAAAUUCCCUUAUCCAAGGAAACCUCUCUAAUCCAUGCAACGCCUAAGACUUGUUUGUUAGGGAAGAGAUAUUGAAGAGAAAGAUAGAGAGGAGAUGGAGAAUCUCUCUUGUUUGGUGAGUUGGAGAGAGAUCGAGCGGAGAAAAAUUGGUGGGACCCACCAUUUUUUGAGUCUCUCCAAAUUGGAGUGAAAUUGGUGGGUGUUUGGUUUUUAUUUUUUUAGAGUUUUUGUACAAUUUUGAGGGUCUGAGACCGCCAUAACUUGUUCUUAGACCGCCAGAAAGGUGUUAAGAUCUCAUCUUUUUUUUCUUCUAUAUUUUACUCGUUUUGUGGCAGUUUCCAACCGUCAUAAAUAUAUCAGAAUCUGUCACGAACUUACUAAAGCUGGAUAAAAGUACUUUUAAAUAUAAAUGGUAUAUUUCUCUCUAUUCUAUAUAUCUCUCUCCUCUCUUUUUUAUCAUAUAAUACAACUUACAAAUUUACUAUAUUUCUCACUCGUUUGUUUCUACUCAACUUCACUCUUUCUACUCUCUCUUCUCCACUUCUUUACUAAAUACAGUGUAAGUCACAAUACUUAGUACAUUCAACAAAGUCCUUUAUCCAAGGCAACCCCUUUGAUACACGCAGAACUAGAGGUAAGUCACAUUAUUUAGGACCUCAACAAAAGUCCCCUGUCUGAGGCAACUUUACUCUUUAGAUAAAAUAGUCUGCAUUUGGUUUUUCAUUGAAGGGGUUGUAUAAAUGAUCAAUGACAAAGUUUGAGUUAAAUAACUCAUCAUCUAAUCACAUUGAAGAUAAGUGAGAUGGAAAUAAAUUAAUAGAUAUAAUAUAGAAAUUCUAACUCACUUAUCUUCAAUGUAAUUGAAUGAUGAGUUAUUUAACUCAAACUUUAUCAUGGGUCAUUUAGACAACCCGUAAAGAAGUUUUUUGCAAAUGCAGGAUAUAUAGAAGAGUUACACGAAUCGAACUUUGCAUAAAUGACCAAUUCUAGAAGUUUUUCUCGCGAUGCAAAAAUCAAGUAGACAGGUAUAUGAUAACUAUAAUACAAUUAGUUAAAAACACAUUGAUAUAAGAGCAUAAUCUUGUGGCUUGACAGAAUCUCAAAGCAUUACAUUUUGGAGUUAGAACGAAAUACAGUAGUGUCAAAGACUUUGAGGAAAAAACGAGUUCUUGGGAUUGAGAGCCAAGUCUGCAAUAUGGUGCCAAUGGUAGCAAUCAGUUUCCUCUUCACUUCUGAAUUUAUGCCACCCAUUGAAAUUACCUCAGCAUACGCAGCUGGUUCUUUGUUACCCUCAAAUGACAUUGGCACUGACGACUUCAAUAGGACCAUCACAAACUGCAAAAGUUAUAGUCACAAUACACAUUAAGAAGGAACAAUGAAGACUACAAUAGAUGCACAAAUAUUUUUGACAAUGUGUAUUUUGAAGUUUGUUGUGUUAUCAAAUGUUAGUACGUCUCAUAUUUGAAGAAAAUGACCAAUUUUAAGUAGUUUAUGAGUGAGAUAACUCAUACACUUAAUAUUUUAGAUGAUUGUUAGCUCAAUGUAAAAAUCCUCAUAGUUUAAAGCAUCUCCUUUGACCCAACAAAGUUAUCAUAUGAACUUGAGUGAACCUGUUUCACUGUUUCAGUAUUGACUACAUAAGUAUUACUAAGAUAAUCAAAUAAAUUAAGAUAAUCAAAUAAAUGAUAGAACAAUUCUCACUUCUAAACUUUAAAUUUUAGUAGAGGGAGACUAAUUGAAAUUCUAAUAAACAUAUAUAUAUAUAUAUGAUUACAGGGCCUUUUAGACAAUACUAGCUGUAGCAUUCUAAUUAUUCCGAAGGAUAAGCGACAGCCACAACACUCAUAUGGGUGUCAUAAUGAAUUUCUCUUGGUGUGAGACUGCAUACCUACAGGUUGGCUAUGGGAUUUUGUAUGUUAAAACACUAUGUAGUCUUUUAUAAAUUGGAUUUAAAAAUCACAGAAAAAGAAACAUAUGGGUUGUAUGCUCAUUUUAAAUUUUUUUUAACAUGUAAAGUGAAAAAAUUAUGAAAAAAAAGUGGUGUAUUAAGUACUACUAUUUUUUAAGAGAUGGGAUUUACUGUAGGGCUACCCAUAAACAAAUAAUAGUGGUGUUGGUGCAAGGGGUCCCAUGAUAAAGAUGAGGAUUACUGCCUCCAGAAAUGCAAAUUGUAGAAGUAUAAUGUGCCUUCAACUAUCCUUCCACUUGUCACAGAUUAUAGUAGGGAAAGAAAAUGGGAAGAUCCAUGGUAUCAUAUAUUAGUUACUAUCAAAUUAUAUUAACUUUCAGAAACUAUAGAUCUUUUUCAUUUUAAUUUGUCCUGUAGGCCAUAGCUGUCCUGCUACAAGGAGACCACACCCUGUACAACCAUGAAUCAUAAAGUUUAAAGAAUAAUAUUUUAUUCACAUCUCAAUUUCACCCACACACAAAGAAAUAAAAAGAGAAGAUAGAAAAAUAAGAGAUGUAAUAGAAAAUGCACAAAGAAAUAAAAAAAUGAAAAUAAGAGAAAGUGAGUGAGACUGAAUCAAAACCCAAGUUUAAAACAUCAAUUUCUUAAUUGUCACAUUAUUUUAUUAGUGGGAUCUGAUUUUGCAUGCCUUUGUUCACAAUCACAAAGAUCUCACUCUUCCCCAUAUACCAGAGAUUCCUUUGACUCCAAGUUGCCUGAGAAUAUGAUUAAGCAAUAAUUAUUUAUUCACACCUCAAAAUGAGGUGGAAUGAGGUGGAGGAAGAGAGAGAUAGGAAGAAAAGAAAAAGUAAGAGUGAGAAAGUAUAAGAUGUGAUAGAUGAUAAGAGGAGAGAGAUAGAAAUAAAAAUAUGUGUGUAUAUAUCGAUUAAUUAAACCAAGGAUCCAGAAACUAAACUAGCUGUUUGAUUUCUUGAUCCAGAAAGGCAGAAACUAAACUACACCAAUAUAAGAAGAGAAAGGAUAAAUUGCAUACAAGCUUGCCUUCAGAGCAAUGAAGAAACGGUUUUAUGUGUCAGAUUACUUAAUUAGCUAUAAAAUAAUCUUGUUGGGUCUAAUCUAGCUGGAGAUCAACUAACAAUUGACCCAUUAAUCAUAUAUGUUUGGAUUUCAAGUGAUGCACAUGUGUAACUUCAGAUUAACACGAUUUUGCGGGUGAACUUAGAUUCCAGAAACCAAACACAAUUUAACUCAAUUGAAUGUCGAAUCCAAAUUCCAAAUUUACCAAAAGAAAACCAAGGAAGAACAUGAUUCACUUUAACGAAGAACUACCAUACAAUCAAACAACAGAAAAAAAGGAAAAAUAAAACAGAGCCAAUAAUUUUGUGUCAAGCCCAACAAGGAUUCUUACACACAACAGGGCUAAAUAUCUUAUGAUAAAUGAAUCUUUAGCUGAAAUAGAAAGAAAGACACACACCUUUUUGGGUUUACCAAUGAUUGUGGAGACCGCAGUGGUGGCUUCAGAAAAGAUGGGAUCCGUGUCAACUCCAUCUAAGUUAAGAUUAGUGGUGAUGUAAAGGCAAGGCAUCUUCUUCCUCUUUUUCUGUACUGCUUUCUAGUCUUUCUUUGCUCAAAGACUUGUAACCCAAGGUGGUUUGAUAAUGUGCCUAUAUUCCAAUUCAAGACAAUCCCAAUUCCCAUGAUAUAUAUAUAGAUGCUAGUAGAUUUACAUGGAUUUGUAUUAGCCUUGACUUGAACUUCUUCUAUUUCUUCUAUUGCAUAUAAGAAUGUCACCUCAAUAUUUUUAUUCGCAAUAAAAUGAGUUUUUUUGUGUAGACCAAAUAAAUUACCGACGGAUAAAACCGUUGGUAACUAGCGACAAAAAAAGCCGUUGAAAAAAUGGUCGAUAAUUAGGGAUGGAAAAAGUCAUCAAUAAAUUAACAACGGAAAAUGUCGUUGAAAAAAUUACCAACUAGCCAAACAACGAUAACUAUUUGGCUGUCGGUUGCCGUCAGUAAUUAAGAUUACCGAUAACUUUUGACCAUCGAUAAAAAGCAUUUUUCGUACGGUGAUCAUGUGUCAGUAAUGUGCAUGUUAUUUUAAGUUUUCUUAUUAUAUUGUUGAUUAUGUACAAUUUCUUUUACUCUACAUAUACUUAAGUUGUAUGUCAAUUUUUUGUCUUUUAGUGCUUUAGAGAGGUCACCAAAGAAACCCUCAUGUGAAAAGUCUAGGUGGCACUAAGUUCCGUAAAUGGGUGGAUCUCACACUGCCAAAUUGAGGGAAAAAACUAAGUAGGAAUGUGAUAAACAUUUGCUAUAUUUUCAGGAUUAAAACUAAGAAAUAUUUUUUUAAGGAGUAAAACCAACAAUUGUUAUAUUUUCAGAAACCAAACACAUAUUUAAGCCAAAAACUAAUGAGGAUAUAUUAAGGCUAUGUUUGGCACGUUUAACUGAUAAGCUAGCUGAAAGCUGAAAAGCUACAUAAUUGUAACAAAAGUGUUUGGUAAAACUAGCUGUUGAACAUAAAAGGACAUACUUGUAUAAUUAUUUUUAUAUUUAACAUUACUUUAUUUUCACAUUAAUACCUAUAAAAUAUUAAUAUUAAAAUUAUUAUAACUUUAAAUAUUUUAAUUUCACUCAAUUUAUUUCUCAUCUUAAAAAUAUGUUUUCCGAAGGAAAAAAAAUCAUCUUUAAAAUAUAGUAUUAAUUUUUAUUACAUAUAAGGCUAAAUGUGAAAUUUUCAUAAAAUAAUAAGGAUAAAAAUGAGAAUAUAUUUAAUAAGCUUUAAGCUUUAAGCUACUGAAAUAAGCUCAUUCACCAAACAUUUUUAUAGAGCUUUUAAGCUAGUCAAAUAAGUUAUAAGCUAGCUGAAAUGACAUGUCAAACAUAGCCUAAAUGUGAGAAAGUAUUUUCUGUUUUUAUUUUUUUUAUUUUGCAUACUUAAAUAAGAUAAAAAUAAAUAAUAUUUGUAAUUUAUAACAACAACAUUUUGUUAUAAAAAAAUUUCUUAAUAUUAUAAGGUGGCUGUUAGGGUGCAAGUGCACACUAGAUUUUGCACCAUACAAGAGCAAAUUUUACCUAUUAUAACAGGUAAAGUAACCUGCUGAGAAAAAAAAAAGUCAUAUUACAAAAUUAUCCUUCUAUCCUUUCCCUCUUCCACCUUUGUCCUCCACCGCACAUCCUCUUCCCCCUCCCCGCCUCCAUCUCCCUCACGGCCUCACCCACCAUACUCAUCCCAAAAACCCAGAUAGAACACCAACAAAGAAUAAAACAUAUUAAAAUUAUUCUACAUUUAUCCUAAAAACCAAAUAGCUUUACAGACAAACCCAAUUACAUCAGGUUGGGUGGUGAUGAUGGUUGCACAACGAGAUCUUCUUCGCAGGUUCAUGUGCGUCUGCUCCAUAUUCAUAACCCAAAUCCACAAUUGCAUCCUUUGCUGCAGAACCAUUACCCUAGUUCCCAAAGAGAAUUUGAAACAAAACAAUAAGCAGAUCAACAUAAAAGCCAUAAAUCAAGUUGAUCAACAAUAAGCAAAAUCACUUUCCUUCAUCCUCAGGGCUUUAAUGUAAAAGUUAAAUUAUAUUUAUAAUAAAUAAUAUAAAACAAAUUACAAGUUGAACUUGAAAACCCAGUUCCCCGUUUCCCUCACUGCCAAGUGUUGAUAUCUCAUUGGGCAUUAGAUGUAUGGCACCGGUGCAAUACCUAAGACGUAUUGCACCUUAUACUCCACCAUAUUAUAAAGUCAAACUUCACCAAAAGAAACAAACAAUUGGUGAUCUGAGGCCACUAUCUAGUGCCUUCUUGGGGGGAGGGGGACCUCUCCACGAGCUAAGCAUUUUCAACAUCUUUUGAUGAAUAUCCAAGAAAAAGGGGUCGAGAUGAUAUAUCUUUCUCACUUUGCGCCACUUGAUACAAAGAUGUCUAUUGUCUAGCUAGAAAAUGAACUAGUGUCUACUUUAUGCACAACAUGACUUGUGCAGUUAUGGUUCCUUUCAAUAUUCUUCGUGUGUCUCUUUUUGCCGGGAUUUAAUUCAUCGCACCAUAUUUUUUCUUCUAUCUCAAUUUCAUCAUUUUUUAUUUUUUAUUUUUUUUCUAUAAAAUCACUUAUUAUAUCUUCCAUUUAUUCAAUUAAUCAACUUGUUUUUUAUCUCGAUCUCUGAAUGUAAAUCGGGUGUCAUGAUAAGUUUUCUCCUCUUUCAUUCCUAAUCGGAAGUGGGCAUACAAGACAUUCUCUUGGUGCAUCUCUUCUUCCCCCCAUCUUCAAUGGAUUCCAUCAAAUGAAGUGUCAGUAUCAUCUAGUAGGUAAAGUCCAGAUUGAGGGAUCGAUGUAUGUAAAAAAAGGUGAAUUGGUUUAUAUCCAAAAAGUGUGAAACAUAUUUUCAUUAUUCAUAAGACAUAGAGAAACUAAGGACUAGGGCAUUACUUUACAUAUAAGAUAUAACCCACAUCAAACACAACCAAUAAUCAAGUUGCUACUAUUCUUAAUGAUUGUUUCCAGUUUUGUCGUUCUUUUGAUUUUAUUUCCCUUUCUUUUGUUUGCCGCUCUGGCAAUACUAUGGCUGACUAUUUGACUAGACAUGCUUCUUCUUUCGCCGGCUGUGUGUGGAUUGAGGAGGUUCCUCAUGAGAUUGAGACUUUUGUAACUGCAGACAUUUUGGCUUCUAUCCCGUUUAAUAUAUUGCAGUAACAGUUCAAAAUAAUCAAGUUGAGAACAAAUUGACAGGAUGAGAGGACGAGGAUUUGAGCCAUUGGCAAAAUAACUGACGUCAUUCUCUCAAGUCUCAUCAGACCAAUCUCAUGAAAUAGAGGGUUCAACAAAUCUCCGCACCAAGACUACAAUGGGGACAAAGUUUGUCUAUUUAUGCAUUGCUUGGAAGGAAUGAAAAUGCAUAGAAAAGGAAAGUGACAAUAGAAGAGACAGAUUUCUAGGAGUUUUCUCUCUUUUGUUGGAGCAAAAACAUGACGGACAAAUUUUGUAUAAUUUUAACUAAAUUUUUAAAACUAAUUUUCUUGUCAGGUGUAAUUGUUAGGUUUAAUUUUUUAACUAAAUAUAUUUAUGUCAUUUUUUAAAUAUACUAUUCUCUUCUGUCCUAUUUUUCUUUUCACUUUCUUUUUAACCAAACAACUUUAAAAUUAUCUUACUUUCUACCAUCUUUUUUUCUUUUCUCUUUUUUUCUUUUCAUUUUCUUUUCUCACACUUUUCUUCUAUUUAUCAAACAUACCUUUAGCCGGCCUUUGAUCUCGAAGAAGUUAGGAGAUUCAAUAGCUCGACAUACAUGUCUAAUUAGCCCAAGAGGCGGUCGCUAAAUUGGAAGCGUAGGGCCAACAUCCAUGUCAUUGUGAAUUUGUGGUGCAGUUACUUAAUUAUAAAUUUUUUGUAUUUGUGAUAUUAGUAAAGGUGAGUUUGAAUAAGUCAAAGAUGUUAUUCUUAGAAUUAUAGGAUUAGAGAGAACGAAGGAUUUAUAAUCCAUGUAGGAUAGUUCAACUGGUAUGAGUUGAUGGACAUAUGGGUUGGAUAGGGGAGGUUCUAUGAUAAAUUCCUGUCGGAUGCAAUUUAUCUUUUUUAUGUAAAAAAAAAAAGAGUACGAAGGAUUUGAUUUGAUUCUAUCAUUAAUAAGAUGAGAUAGACUUUCUGUGUAUCAAAGGGAAUUAGCAAGUAGGUCAAAUUAUGUUCAUUAUUGAACUAUAGGGCUAGACUUGAAUUGUUUUGGUUUCAGUUUGACUUUCCUAUGGUUCACUUCGUGGAGACUUUGUUCAUCGAUGCAACAUCUACUUUAGGCCACACUACAAGAUUGCAGCGUUUUACUAACGUUUAGUUACCGAUGGCUAUUAAACUGUCAGUUGUUACCCACAUUACCGACGGUCCAACUCUUGGGAACAUUGUCUCUCCAAGUAAAAAAAUUAACGACUGCUUUAGCUACCGGUAGUUGGCAGGAAGCUAGCAUAACGAGAAGGAAUUUGGAGGGUGAAAUGCUGAAGGGAAAUAUUCCGACAAUUUUGACUACCGAUAAAAUCACCAACUCGGUUCGACGGUUUAUGCCAACAAUUGUAGCUAUCGGUAAUUCUGUCGAUCAUUUUCGAGGUUUCAUUUGAAAAAUUUAUUGCACCGACUAUUUACCAGCAACUUUAAGCCUGAGGUAAUAGAAGUUUUUAAUAGGUUACCGACAAUUUUACCGACAGGUCGAUCGUCGGUAACAAAUAUACAAUGCUUUCUCUCAUCCCUUCAACACACUUCUCAUCUUUUCUCACCUUGUUGUAAUAAUUUUUUUAUGCUUUUGUUCAUUUUUAUUAUUUUUUUAAUUUUAGUGUUAUUGUUGUAUAUUAAUUUAUUUUGGUCCUAGAUUUUAUCUUUCUACAACCAUCUUAAAUAAAAUAAUAAAACACAAAAGAAGAAGAGAGAAAACUUAAAUGACCAAAAUUGAUUGGUUAUUGAAAGUCUCAUUAUUCUGUCCUUUUUCAUGUCUUUCCAAUUUAAAUAAACAAUUCCACAAUUCAUUUUGAUAAACAUCUCAUUUUUUCUAUCCGUUUUCAUGUAUUUCAAAUUAAAACAAACAAUUCUAUGAAAGUUUUUAAUAAUUGGGAGUAGAUAUGACGAUGUUAUUGAGCGAAUUUUAACUAUAGAAAUGGAGGAAACUACUUUUUUCUACGUCAUUGUUUUGCUUUUGAGAGACAAGCAAAUGCAUAAGAAAAUGGGAUAAGUAAUUUGAACCCUUUAAAAAAAAUAGCAUCUCAUUAUUUUAUUUUUUUGAAAUUACAUCUCAUUAUUUCUAACCUUAACUCUUGUAUGUCAUAGUGUAUUUAUACAUUUUUAUUUUUUGUAUAACAACAACAAAGAAAAAGAAAAAAGACAGAAAGAACUAAGGCCUAAAGAAGGCCACACCAUGCGUAUCAACUUGCAAAAGGGCAUAUAACCCCCCCAUCUAAAGGAGAGCUAGCUCCAAAAACACUGAAAGCAUUUGCAUUGGUUCAACCAAGCUUAGCCAAAUGAUUUGCGACGACAUUCCCUUCACGAAGCAAGUACCAACAAUGAACAACCCAACACUGACGAAGAAGACUCUUAAUGCUACUAAUUAUACAAGCAUAUUGAUGAAACAGAGGAUGAUUUGAAGUCAUAAGGCCUAGAAUGAUCAUUGAGUCCGUGAAAACUCCACACAUCUAUGCGCAUGUGUGAUACACCUAAAUUUUCAAAAGAAUAAAAAAUUUCCUACUAUAAAUACUCUUAAUAUUCCUUACUCAAAUCACCAUUAACAAUAAUAAAAUCUUUAACCCAUUAAAUGAUACAUGCAAACUGAAUCAAUCAUCCAUAAUUUAAAGCCAAUAAAAUGUUUACGAAGCUUAUUCAGUAAACAAAAACGAGAAUUAAAUAGUUUGGACAAGACAAGGUUCUUGAAGCCUUCGAUAGAACUAAUCAAUUCCAAGACACGUUACUUCAUCAUAACGCCAAAUAUCCUCAAAUUUUUCAUCUGGAUGCCUUCUUGGAUCAUAGUUAGGCCUCUGACAUCUGCAAAACCCAUUUACUUCACAAGAGAUAAUCUUUUUCAGGCAGGAGAUGCUCAAAUGAUUCGUCAAACUUUUGACCUCAUAAAGCACAAUGGAACCAUCUGGUCUAUCCCAAAUGGUGAUACUAUGACAUAUAUUUACCAACAGCAAACGUUCCAUGUUUUUGAGUACAUGGCACAAAGCUCUCAAAUUCACUGUUACGUCCCGGAUACUCAAGAUCAUCAAAUUUGGGGUGUGUUUAACCAAGGCAUCAGCAUGACGUUGUUCAAAGUUGAAAGUCAAUUUCAGUUGAGAGAGAUUCUUGC